rnacentral:rRNA from 1 species
GACGGAAGGUGCAAGCGUUGCUCGGAAUCACUGGGCGUAAAGGGUGCGUAGGCGGCCUGGUAAGUCUGGCGUGAAAGCCCAGGGCUCAGCCCUGGAAGUGCGCUAGAAACUGCGAGGCUCGAGUGCCGGAGGGGAGAGUGGAAUUCCUGGUGUAGCGGUGAAAUGCGCAGAUAUCAGGAAGAACACCAAUGGCGAAGGCAGCUCUCUGGGACGGUACUGACGCUGAGACGCGAAAGCGUGGGGAGCGAACAGG